rnacentral:rRNA from 1 species
AGUGAACGCUGGCGGUAGGCCUAACACAUGCAAGUCGAACGGCAGCACAGUAAGAGCUUGCUCUUACGGGUGGCGAGUGGCGGACGGGUGAGGAAUACAUCGGAAUCUACUUUUUCGUGGGGGAUAACGUAGGGAAACUUACGCUAAUACCGCAUACGACCUACGGGUGAAAGCAGGGGAUCUUCGGACCUUGCGCGAUUGAAUGAGCCGAUGUCGGAUUAGCUAGUUGGCGGGGUAAAGGCCCACCAAGGCGACGAUCCGUAGCUGGUCUGAGAGGAUGAUAGGCCACACUGGGAGUGAGACACGGCACAGGAGCGUACGGGAGGCAGCGGUGGGGAAUAUUGGACACGGGGAGCAAGCCUAAGCCAGUAAUGCCGCGUGAGUGAUGAAGGCGCUAGGGAAGUAAAGCUCUUUUACACGGGAAGAUCAUGACUGUACCGGGAGAAUAAGACCCGGCUAACUCCGUG